rnacentral:lncRNA from 1 species
GGCGGCGGUUGUGGGGGCGUUGGAGGCGCGGGAUCCUCCGCGGGCGCGGCGGGAUUCGUACCUCAGCGCCCGGCUCAGAAAAGUCUUUGAACUCAGCCUUGGCUUUCGGCUCGUGCUGGGACGGCGGAUUUCGGCAUCCGCGUCUGAGGUGUUGAGCGAUGGGUGUCGACGGAUGUCUUUGCCCGAGUUAGCAGCGCGUUGGCAAGCGCGUGGAAGGGGACGUAAACAAGGUUGUAGGCACAGCUUUCCUACAUUGAGAAAGCGAAGGGCAGUAACGAGGCGGAAUGGCUGCAGCGUUCUGCUCUACUUACGAGGAGAUAAAGCUGAGUGAGAUUCCUGCUACGCAGCAGAGAAGUGCAAAUGCUGAUUAAAAAGCGUUAUUUAAAACUCGGCGUUAACGACAGGCUCUGUGCUGCAGCCCGGUAGCCCCUGUGAGCCAACUGCAGCUGCUCUUGUGGUGACUUUCCAGCUUUCCACUGAAAAGCCUACGAAAAGAAUGAGAAAGUGCAGCGCUGUUGCUGAAGGAACAGCUUCCACACAGUGACUCUUCCACCUUAUUUACUGUGCUAAAGCAUAAACAGUCGAUGGCUUUACGGAGUGUGUGUCCAUCCCAAACGACUUGGAAAGCAUCCAGGUGACGUUUAGGGAAGCCAGCAUGUGAGAACCACAUUCUUAUUUCUUGUGAGGAUCAAACGUACACCAAUCACACCUCUGUCAUUGAGUUUGUGAAAUGAGAGCACCCAGAGCACCCGCUGGAUGUUUGAGUAGUUUAUCAGGUAGUUUCAUUUAGACUGUAGGCUGUUAAUUAAUUAAGUGUUAAUUACCAAGAUGCAUUCAAGACUUUCUCAACACACAGAGUUACUCCAAGCUGAUGUAUCACCCAGUACCAUAGUUAAUUACUACUAUGCUAUGAAAAACAUUUUAAAAGAUGGUGAAUAAAACCAUAAAAUAAUUGAGUUCAUGCAUUUGAAAUGACACCAAUCACCUGACGAAAGCCUGGCUUAAAGAACUUGUAAUACUGUCUAUUGUGGAUGUUUUCUUUUCCACAUGGGGAAAUAAAGGUGGGAGCAAUCCACUGUAAACACAUCUUGCCCUAAAAACGUCUCCACUGACUAUAAGGGGAGUGCAGGUCUGUUGUCACAGAUGUCAGCAAAACCAAUUCCAUUCGGGAUGCUGAAAUGGGGUAAUUAGAUGCCUAUAGUUACCAGCUACGAGUGUGACAUUUGUUACAGACUCGGGAAGGAUGUGGGUUAGAAGACUGUAGUCAAAAUAAGGGCAGCAUCUCUGUGCAUACCGUUUACCUGCAGUAAAAAUCUAGAAUGCCAGAGGUUUUAGGAAAAACUGGGAGACGUCAGGUCUGCUUUCCUAGUAGGAGCAAAGCCUCUUUUGCCCAAGUGUGAAUUUACAGCAGCAUUUACAACAUGCUGCUCUGCAGCCUGCUUGGGCCUAAUGUUGCUUAACCACCAGCCGUAACUCAGACUUCAGAGGGCGUAGCUUCUGAUGUUACAGCUGUCCAUUCAUUUGGCAGCAAUGCUACUGAAGGAAGAAAGUACCUAAUUGCUAUCAUCUCCCGGCGCCGUGGCAAUAUACAGCCGGGCUCAGAAACGAUCAACUGCCACUUUCAAAUUAUCCUUCCAUCUCCUUGAAAACGUUGCCCACUAUUGACGUGACACUUGGUUUUCUCACUGUGUGUGUGUCCCAAAUGCACCUGAAGUCCUCUGCCAUCGCUCCCAAAAGGCCGUAGCUCUGAAUGUUGGGUGCUGACGGUGCUGUGCUCGGGCUGGCUCCGUAUCAGUGUCCUGCCUGGACCCUCACUCAGUGACUCAGUCCUGGCCACAUCAGUUGUUGCCAUCCUGGAGCACCAGCUCUGGGGUCCCCAGACCGAAUGUACCCACGUGUCUGUGCACAGCUUCAUCUCGCCUGCGCGGGUUCCUCCUGCUGCAGAGGGCUGAUAGCUCUGUGGGUGCCGGCUUCGCAGAGCUUUGGAGGCAUCCUUUCCAGCAAGCAGAACGAGGACGCUGGGAUUUCGUUACAGCUUCUCAGCAACAAACAGCUCUACAGAGCCGUGCCCUACUUCGCUUGUUUCCAAGGGGUUGGGCUUUCUGAUAGCGUUUUUGAACGAUGCGCAGAGAUGAGAUAAAUAGAAUUUUAAAUAUGUUUUUCUACACGAUCACGUGGAGCGCUCCAGGAGAAAAGAGAGCAGGACGCCCG